rnacentral:lncRNA from 1 species
UUGACAUAAAACAAACCCGGACCAUAUUAUGAUUAUUGUUAUUUGAUCAAGAGUAACCCAUUAUAAUAGAGUUUAUAAGAUCACAAGUUUAAUGCUUGUACCUUUGGGUUUUAUCGAGUAGUUUUGGAAUUUACAAUAGAACAAACUAGAACCAUAUUAUUAUAGUUAUUUGAUCAAGAAGAAACCCAUUAGAAUAGACUCUAUAAAAUCAAAAGCUUUUGUGAAUGUAUUUGUUAACAGUUUCUAUUAUUUUAAGA